rnacentral:rRNA from 1 species
AUACCGGAUGGUUCCCACGGGAAUAACGGGGGGCCCUUCGGGACUGCUGUCCAGGAGUGGACAUGUCCCAUCAGUUAGUUGGUGAGGUAAGAGCUCACCAAGGCAAUGACGGGUAGCUGGUCUGAGAGGAUGGUCAGCCACACUGGGACUGAGACACUGCCCAGACUUCUACGGGAGGCUGCAGUCGAGAAUCAUCCGCAAUGGGCGCAAGCCUGACGGUGCGACGCCGCGUGAAGGAUGAAGGCCUUCGGGUUGUAAACUUCUAACACGGGUUAAGAAACGCCUGGCAUUAAUAGUGUCGGGUUUGACGUAACCCCGAGAUGAAGCACUGGCUAACUCCGUGCCAGCAGCCGCGGUAAUACGGAGAGUGCAAGCGUUACUCGGAAUCACUGGGCUUAAAGGACACGUAGGCGGCCUCGUAAGUCAGUUGUGAAAGCUCUCGGAUCAACCGAGGAACUGCAGGUGAUACUGCGAAGCUAGAGGACGGUAGGGGAGAGCGGAACUCUUGGUGGAGCGGUGAAAUGCGUAGAUAUCAAGAGGAACACCGGUGGCGAAGGCGGAUCUCUGGUCCGUUACUGACGCUGAGGUGUGAAAGCCAGGGUAGCGAACGGGAUUAGAUACCCCGGU